UCAAAGGCUCUUUUAAGAUCCACCGAAUAAAUGCAAAUAAGCACUGU
rfam:Salmo salar isolate Sally breed double haploid chromosome ssa16, whole genome shotgun sequence.